rnacentral:rRNA from 1 species
UACGUAGGGUGCAAGCGUUAAUCGGAAUUACUGGGCGUAAAGCGUGCGCAGGCGGUUCGUUGUGUCGGUGGUGAAAGCCCCGGGCUUAACCCGGGAAGUGGCAGUGGAAACUGGCGGGCUUGAGUGUGGGCAGAGGGGGGGUGGAAUUCCGCGUGUAGCAGUGAAAUGCGUAGAGAUGCGGAGGAACACCGGAUGGCGAAGGCAGCCCCCCUGGGCUAACACAUGACGCUGGAGGCACGGAAAGCGUCGGGGGAGCAAACAGG